GACGAACGCUGGCGGCGUGCUUAACACAUGCAAGUCGAACGGAAAGGCCCUGCUUUUGUGGGGUGCUCGAGUGGCGAACGGGUGAGUAACACGUGAGUAACCUGCCCUUGACUUUGGGAUAACUUCAGGAAACUGGGGCUAAUACCGGAUAGGAGCUCCUGCUGCAUGGUGGGGGUUGGAAAGUUUCGGCGGUUGGGGAUGGACUCGCGGCUUAUCAGCUUGUUGGUGGGGUAGUGGCUUACCAAGGCUUUGACGGGUAGCCGGCCUGAGAGGGUGACCGGCCACAUUGGGACUGAGAUACGGCCCAGACUCCUACGGGAGGCAGCAGUGGGGAAUAUUGCACAAUGGGCGGAAGCCGGAUGCAGCAACGCCGCGUGCGGGAUGACGGCCUUCGGGUUGUAAACCGCUUUCGCCUGUGACGAAGCGUGAGUGUCGGUAAUGGGUAAAGAAGCACCGGCUAACUACGU
rnacentral:rRNA from 1 species